GGCGGCAGGCCUAACACAUGCAAGUCGAACGGUAACAGGAAGAAGCUUGCUUCUUUGCUGACGAGUGGCGGACGGGUGAGUAAUGUCUGGGAAACUGCCUGAUGGAGGGGGAUAACUACUGGAAACGGUAGCUAAUACCGCAUAACGUCGCAAGACCAAAGAGGGGGACCUUCGGGCCUCUUGCCAUCGGAUGUGCCCAGAUGGGAUUAGCUUGUUGGUGGGGUAACGGCUCACCAAGGCGACGAUCCCUAGCUGGUCUGAGAGGAUGACCAGCCACACUGGAACUGAGACACGGUCCAGACUCCUACGGGAGGCAGCAGUGGGGAAUAUUGCACAAUGGGCGCAAGCCUGAUGCAGCCAUGCCGCGUGUAUGAAGAAGGCCUUCGGGUUGUAAAGUACUUUCAGCGGGGAGGAAGGGAGUAAAGUUAAUACCUUUGCUCAUUGACGUUACCCGCAGAGGAAGCACCGGCUAACUCCGUGCCAGCAGCCGCGGUAAUACGGAGGGUGCAAGCGUUAAUCGGAAUUACUGGGCGUAAAGCGCACGCAGGCGGUUUGUUAAGUCAGAUGUGAAAUCCCCGGGGCUCAACCUGGGAACUGCAUCUGAUACUGGCAAGCUUGAGUCUCGUAGAGGGGGGUAGAAUUCCAGGUGUAGCGGUGAAAUGCGUAGAGAUCUGGAGGAAUACCGGUGGCGAAGGCGGCCCCCUGGACGAAGACUGACGCUCAGGUGCGAAAGCGUGGGGAGCAAACAGGAUUAGAUACCCUGGUAGUCCACGCCGUAAACGAUGUCGACUUGGAGGUUGUGCCCUUGAGGCGUGGCUUCCGGAGCUAACGCGUUAAGUCGACCGCCUGGGGAGUACGGCCGCAAGGUUAAAACUCAAAUGAAUUGACGGGGGCCCGCACAAGCGGUGGAGCAUGUGGUUUAAUUCGAUGCAACGCGAAGAACCUUACCUGGUCUUGACAUCCACAGAACUUUCCAGAGAUGGAUUGGUGCCUUCGGGAACUGUGAGACAGGUGCUGCAUGGCUGUCGUCAGCUCGUGUUGUGAAAUGUUGGGUUAAGUCCCGCAACGAGCGCAACCCUUAUCCUUUGUUGCCAGCGGUCCGGCCGGGAACUCAAAGGAGACUGCCAGUGAUAAACUGGAGGAAGGUGGGGAUGACGUCAAGUCAUCAUGGCCCUUACGACCAGGGCUACACACGUGCUACAAUGGCGCAUACAAAGAGAAGCGACCUCGCGAGAGCAAGCGGACCUCAUAAAGUGCGUCGUAGUCCGGAUUGGAGUCUGCAACUCGACUCCAUGAAGUCGGAAUCGCUAGUAAUCGUGGAUCAGAAUGCCACGGUGAAUACGUUCCCGGGCCUUGUACACACCGCCCGUCACACCAUGGGAGUGGGUUGCAAAAGAAGUAGGUAGCUUAACCUUCGGGAGGGCGCUUACCACUUUGUGAUUCAUGACUGGGGUGA
rnacentral:rRNA from 1 species